AAGUCGUAACAAGGUCUCCGUAGGUGAACCUGCGGAGGGAUCAUUACACAAAUAUGAAGGCGGGCUGGAACCUCUCGGGGGUUACAGCCUUGCUGAAUUAUUCACCCUUGUCUUUUGCGUACUUCUUGUUUCCUUGGUGGGUUCGCCCACCACUAGGACAAACAUAAACCUUUUGUAAUUGCAAUCAGCGUCAGUAACAAAUUAAUAAUUACAACUUUCAACAACGGAUCUCUUGGUUCUG
rnacentral:misc_RNA from 1 species